GGAAGGAUCAUUAUUGACAAAGGAUGUGCUGACAUUGAUAUUUCUCAAUGUAAUUGUGCACUCCAAAAUCUUUCCAUCUCACCACUGUGCAUCCAUGGAUUUAAGGUUUUGCAAAGAACCUUAUCCUGUUUUCUAUAACAUGCAAUUAAAAAAUUUUGUUAUGUAUGAUAAAAUAAAAAUGUGAAACAACUUUCAACAAUGGAUCUCUUGGCUCUCGCAUCGAUGAAGAACGCAGCGAAUUGCGAUAUGUAAUGUGAAUUGCAGAAUUCAGUGAAUCAUCGAAUCUUUGAACGCAUAUUGCACCCUCUGGUCAUUCCGGAGGGUAUGCCUGUUUGAGUGUCAUUAACAAAUCUCAAUGUUGUUCAUUUUUUCAAUGGACCAACAUGGGGGACUUUGAAGGUUUGCUGGCCUGUUCAGCUCCUUUAAAAUGCAUUAGUGGUUUCAUUGGCCGGGUUCAGCUUCAGUAUAAUCUUUUGAGGCCUGUUCCGUUGUCAACCUUUUUGAAGCUGCUUUCCAACCAUCUUUCGAGAUUAAAAAAGGACAUUGACCUCAAAUCAGGUAAGACUACCCGCUGAACUUAAGCAUAUCAAUAAGCGGAGGAAAAGAAACUAACAAGGAUUCCCUUAGUAACUGCGAGUGAAGAGGGAAAAGCUCAAAUUUAGAAUCUGGCAGCUCUGCUGUCCGAGUUGUAAAUUAGAGAAGUGCUAUCUGCGCUGGCCUGUGCACAAGUCCCUUGGAAAAGGGCAUCAUAGAGGGUGACAAUCCCGUCUUUGGCAUGGAUUCCCAGUGCAUUUGUGAUGCGCUCUCAAAGAGUCGAGUUGUUUGGGAAUGCAGCUCCAAAUGGGUGGUAAAUUCCAUCUAAAGCUAAAUACUGGCGAGAGACCGAUAGCGCACAAGUACCGUGAGGGAAAGAUGAAAAGAACUUUGAAAAGAGAGUUAAACAGUACGUGAAAUUGUUGAAAGGGAAACACUUGAAGUCAGUCUGCUUGCUGACCAAAUCAACCUGACCUUGGUUGGGUGUAUUUUGGUUCAGUUAGGGUCAGCAUCAAUUUUGGUCAUCAGAUAAAGGGUCUGGAAAUGUGACACUCUUUUGGAGUGUGUUAUAGAUCAGGCUUAUGAUGUGGUGGCUGGGAUUGAGGAACUCGGUGCAAUUUUUUUUGCAUCCAGGAUGCUGGCAUAAUGGCUUCAAAUGACCCGUCUUGAAACACGGACCAAGGAGUCUAACAUGCAUGCGAGUGUUUGGGUGGCAAACCCAAGCGCGUAAUGAAAGUGAAAGUUGAGAACCCUGUCAUGGGGUGCAUCGACACCCAGACCUGACCUCUUGUGAAGGAUCUGCGGUAGAGCAUGUAUGUUGGGACCCGAAAGAUGGUGAACUAUGCCUGAAUAGGGUGAAGCCAGAGGAAACUCUGGUGGAAGCUCGUAGCGAUUCUGACGUGCAAAUCGAUCGUCGAAUUUGGGUAUAGGGGCGAAAGACUAAUCGAACCAUCUAGUAGCUGGUUCCUGC
rnacentral:misc_RNA from 1 species